UACGAAGGGAGCUAGCGUUGUUCGGAAUCACUGGGCGUAAAGCGCACGUAGGCGGAUUUGUCAGUCAGGGGUGAAAUCCCGGGGCUCAACCUCGGAACUGCCUUUGAUACAGCAAGUCUUGAGUUCGAGAGAGGUGGGUGGAAUUCCUAGUGUAGAGGUGAAAUUCGUAGAUAUUAGGAAGAACACCGGUGGCGAAGGCGGCCCACUGGUCCGGUACUGGACGCUGAGGUGCGAAAGCGUGGGGAGCAAACAGG
rnacentral:rRNA from 1 species